rnacentral:tRNA from 1 species
GCCUCCUUAGCUCAGCUGGCCAGAGCACCGCUCUUGUAAAGCGGGGGUCGUCGGUUCGAACCCGACAGGGGGCUCGA